UACGGAGGGUGCAAACGUUGCUCGGAAUCAUUGGGCGUAAAGCGCACGUAGGCGGCGAAACAAGUUGGGUGUGAAAGCCCCCGGCUCAACUGGGGAGGGUCACUCGAUACUGAUCGACUCGAAGGCAGGAGAGGGAAGCGGAAUUCCCGGUGUAGUGGUGAAAUGCGUAGUUAUCGGGAGGAACACCAGUGGCGAAGGCGGCUUUCUGGCCUGCUCUUGACGCUGAGGCGCGAAAGCUAGGGUAGCAAACGGG
rnacentral:rRNA from 1 species